GAAAUAAGGGGGUUAUUACGUAAAGGGGUACGGCAGGGAAGAAGGAAUUCCAUAUUUAAACAGUUGAGAGCGGACAUGCAAUGAUGUACUCUGAGAAAUAUUUAAUCGGUGCCCUUUCCUCAGAGUACAUGAGACAGUCGGUGCUAGCCAGUUGGCCUGCUGACACUCUAUGACACAGAGGGAACUCCAUCCAAGUUUACUUUCCAUCCAUCUAUUUUUGAAUCCUUUUAACACUUUAGAGAGAGAAAAAGAGAGAAUAACAGAACAGGCAGGCAGGCUGUGCUUAGCCCCAAAACCACUUGCAGAGCCUGAAAGCUUGGGAGUAAAUACAAUUUCUUUGGCGCUUUGCUAUAAAACAAACACUCCGUACCUCACCAUAUCAUUAGUCUACGGAUUCCACACUCUGACAUACUUACAUGUUUACAGAAAAGAGAGAGAGGGAGACACAGAGAAGACUGUGCUGAGAUGUUUAGAGAGAAGAAUUCGGGAUUCUAGCUGCAGCAGUAUUAAUAAGGAAAGAGAAGGUAGGGCAGCCCAGAAAAUAAAUGAGCUACUAGCAUGAGUUUCAAAAGAGACGGUGUAGAAGACAGACAAACAUUCCUAUUUCCUUGCCUUGGCUGGAUAACACGGCUGGAAAAGGUGAGGACAGAGUGCAGAGGUGGCCGUCUACAUGCCAGAAAGAGAGCUCUCACCAGGAAGUGAAUUGGCUGGCACCUUGAUCUUGGACUUCCCAGCCUCCAGAACUGUGAGAAAUAAAUGUCUGUUGUUUAAUUACACCUGUAAUAUGGCUUACUUUGUUAAAGUAGGUAAAGCUAAGACACCUAGACUUCCUUCACUGGCCCCUAUCUUCAAAGAAAGCCCAGUACUGGAAGAAAACCAGAACCUUCCUCCAAAUUGCACAGGCUACCUCGAUGUCAUGGGCACAGGGUGCCCAGGAUGGUACGAGUGGAAUGUGGCCUUAUGUACCAGCCAGAAACACAGAUGAAGAGCCUCUCUUCAGGAGUCAGCAGGACCAAACCUUCCAGAUGUACUCACUUGGUUUCAGUGAAGUUAGGCUGGAGGUUGGGGCAUGUUUACAGACUAAACGACGCUCUCUAGAAACAAAAUGUUUGAACUAGCACGCACUAAACGGGGUAAGUUGAUAAUGGUUGUCAGGGAGGUAAGUAAAAGACAAUUUUGAAUUAGACUCUGGCGUACUUUUACUUUGAACUCAAGUGUCCCACAUGUGAUUCCUUCUUGUCCAAAGAUAGAAUAGAAAUCGGUUUCGAUGAGUUUUUAACUUAAUUUGGCCAUGGCCAUAUAUGGUGCCAGGGCUGCAUUACAUCAGGCACAAGCCUUCCCAGGGCUUUGACCCUGUAGAGAGGACACUUCCCCAGAGUGUUGACAAUGCACUCAGAGCCAAAGGCCUUCCUGUCCUGGGGCUUCUUUUAGCCCUAAAGAAGGAAGGGGACAGGCACAGUCACUUUAUGUGGAAGGAACUACUUUCUGCUUUAUUGUAAACACUGUAGGAACUACACAGGCAGUUGGCAUUCCUCCCCAGCUGGCCACUAAUGAAAUUCUAUUUCUCUUUUUAGAAGGCGGGGCAGUGAAAAUAUGGGGCUGCUUGAAGAAUCUGAUAUGUUCCUAGUUUAUACAGUUCCAGAAACUGGCAGUCCUCACCUCUGCUGGGACCACCAUGAUGAUGCUGUCAGAGAGAGGGAAGCCCUGGUUCUGUUACUGGGGAUGAAGAGAGCAGGGCAGAAGGUCCAGGCUGGCAGGAGAAAAGGCAGCCUAUGGGAGAUCAGGAGAAAGGAUUCCUCUCUGGCGCUUGAGUUUCCUGGACCCCAACUCAGUCCUUCUGAGAAAAUGCUAGGCCUGCAGGGGUCUGAGAGUUUUCUUCAGCUGACAUCAAGCCAGGGCAAUCCCCAGCCCAGCCAGCCUUGGCUUUGUCUAAGCCAAUGUGUACUGACAGUUCUGGCAACAGCUAUAUAGACAUUUUUGCUCUCAAAAAACAAAUCCAAAAGGUAAUGCAUGACCUAAAAGUUCUUGAAAUUUGGAUGGCCAAUUUUACACUGAAUAUACAGAACAAAACCUCUAUCUCAGCAAUUUACCAGGUUCCCUUUAAGAUGCCCCAGCAAAAGGAAAAUUCUUGGAUAGUGACAGAUAAGAAAAUACACUAUUCAUAGAAGAUAUUACAGGAUGCUCACCCUUAUUAUGAGGCUCACCCUUAUAAACUCCUUGAGGGCAAUGUUUAACACCGUGAUCUGAACACAAGAAACGCUCAAUAAAGCUAUGGUAAAUAAAUGUGUUUAAAAUGAAUUUUUAUUUACUUUGCAUACUCUUAAAACGAUCUCUUUAGAGCUGUUUACAAAGCCAGAAGAAAUUAGUGAAUUAUCCUUUGGGCUAAGCCACUGAUAGUGGAAGAGGAUGUGGUUCUACACUUGCCUUGAUGAUCAGCACUACUUCCUAUCAGCACAGAGCCAAACACAUCUGUUCUUGAGAUGGCUGGGAAGGAAGUGUGCCACAGACAGUGCACGAGCACACUGGGAAAGGUCUUAGAAAUGGGAAAACUAUGGGAAGUCAUUUUCUGGACAACUGACCUCCCAAGUCCCCACAUCUAAGGAGGACUUCAGGAAGCCGGACACACUUGUAGCUCCUGGUUCUGAUCAGUGGCCCUGUAUGCACACGACUGUACCUAGGGGAGGCAAGCUGUGGCAGGGGCGGAAAGCUUAGUGGUGCUGCUCAGCACACAAGGCAGAUGAUUCAGCAACCACUUCCAACCCUGAGAGGACAAGGGUCUGCAGAGACGAAAGAAGACAUCAUCUGACUCGGUUUCAUUUCAGGAGCCAGCACAAUUUUAUGUCCUCAGCAGCCAGACGAUCAUCAAAGAAGGGGGGUGGGAACCAGGAAGGCAUACGGAAUCCCUGGGUUCCUCGUGAGCUCCGGGAGCACUUUCACAGAAGGCAGGCACAGGGAAAUGGACCACACAAGGAAUGCAUUUUUGCCACAUAUUUCGAGCAGCACAGCUUCCUUUAAGAAAAGACUGCUCCAUUCCACAGAUGUGGCUCCUCUACGUAAAAAUACUCUUCCCAGAUUGCCUGAAUCAAAACAGGGUCUAUUCUUUUCAGCAAAAUGGCAAAGUAGCAACAGGGAGGGGAAGGAAGAAGGAUCAGGAAAACAACCUAGGGGGAUCCCGACUCCAACUGUACAACUUGGGGGGACCUUCUUUUGUAGGGUAAAGGAAGGUGGUUUAAGCUCUGCUGUACUGCCAUUCCAACUUCUAGCUGCCUGCUCCUGGGCCAUGGGAUUAGGGUCCAGCCACAGCUACCUGAUUGAUAAGGACAGAGUUGCUGGAACUCGUACAGCCCAAGUGCAGCAAAUUAAUGGAAUAAACACAACAGCACACUCUUCUCUUGAAUGCUACACUCUAAAGAGUUUUUAACCAACAGGCUCAGAACUUUUUCCCACUUAUUCAAGGCUAAAUGGAUUCCCUCUUUCAGAACACUGCCACAUGCAUUUCAAACCUAGAAAACAUCAGUCCUAUAUUUCCAGUGCCCUGGUACAGACCAACCUCAUCCCACACUUCUGCUUCCCUUGACCCAAACUUCUCCCUAACUCUGGUCCUUGUAGAGCUUUUCCACAGUGGGCCAAACGUGCGACUCUGAACCUAGUCCAUUAUCCAGCUGAGCAAGCUGGACAUCACCCAUUGAAGCUAAAAGACUCAGAAACAGGCACCACUCACCAGCCCCCAUGCCACCCUUGGGCACAU